rnacentral:rRNA from 1 species
CUUACGGGUGGCUGCAGUGGGGAAUAUUGCACAAUGGGCGCAAGCCUGAUGCAGCCAUGCCGCGUGUGUGAAGAAGGCCUUCGGGUUGUAAAGCACUUUCAGCGGGGAGGAAGGCGUUAAGGUUAAUAACCUUGUCGAUUGACGGUACCCGCAGAAGAAGCACCGGCUAACUCCGUGCCAGCAGCCGCGGUAAUACGGAGGGUGCAAGCGUUAAUCGGAAUUACUGGGCGUAAAGCGCACGCAGGCGGUCUGUCAAGUCGGAUGUGAAAUCCCCGGGCUCAACCGGGGAACUGCAUUCGAAACUGGCAGGCUAGAGUCUUGUAGAGGGGGGUAGAAUUCCAGGUGUAGCGGUGAAAUGCGUAGAGAUCUGGAGGAAUACCGGUGGCGAAGGCGGCCCCCUGGACAAAGACUGACGCUCAGGUGCGAAAGCGUGGGGAGCAGACAGGAUUAGAUACCCCAGUAGUC